rnacentral:snoRNA from 1 species
AGUCGUUUGAAUACACUCUGGGGUCAAGUUUUUUCUCUGUACUAGGUUCCAAUUUAAAUUUCAAACAAGAUCAAUUGACAACUUACUCACCAAGAUACGCCGGUUAUGUUUCUAUAUAUGGUGAAGUUAACUUCGAGUUAAAUUCAUUUGGCUAUAUUGGUCCAUUUUCAGUGUCAUACAU